UGGAUCCAGACUUUGAUCAUGGCUCAGGACGAACGCUGGCGGCGUGCUUAACACAUGCAAGUCGAACGGAGCGCCAUGGAAUGAGGUUUCGGCCAAAGGAAAUGGUUGCUUAGUGGCGGACUGGUGAGUAACGCGUGAGGAACCUGCCUUUCAGAGGGGGACAACAGUUGGAAACGACUGCUAAUACCGCAUGACGCAUGACCGGGGCAUCCCGGACAUGCCAAAGAUUUAUCGCUGAAAGGUGGCCUCGCGUCCGAUUAGAUAGUUGGCGGGGUAAUGGCCCACCAAGUCGACGAUCGGUAGCCGGACUGAGAGGUUGGCCGGCCACAUUGGGACUGAGAUACGGCCCAGACUCCUACGGGAGGCAGCAGUGGGGAAUAUUGGGCAAUGGACGCAAGUCUGACCCAGCAACGCCGCGUGAAGGAAGAAGGCUUUCGGGUUGUAAACUUCUUUGACAGGGGAAGAGCAGAAGACGGUACCCUGAAAACAAGCCACGGCUAACUACGUGCCAGCAGCCGCGGUAAUACGUAGGUGGCAAGCGUUGUCCGGAUUUACUGGGUGUAAAGGGCGUGCAGCCGGGCCGACAAGUCAGAUGUGAAAUCCCGAGGCUUAACCUCGGAACUGCAUUUGAAACUGUUGGUCUUGAGUAUCGGAGAGGUCAUCGGAAUUCCUUGUGUAGCGGUGAAAUGCGUAGAUAUAAGGAAGAACACCAGUGGCGAAGGCGGAUGACUGGACGACAACUGACGGUGAGGCGCGAAAGCGUGGGGAGCGAACAGGAUUAGAUACCCUGGUAGUCCACGCUGUAAACGAUGGAUACUAGGUGUGCGGGGACUGACCCCCUGCGUGCCGCAGUUAACACAAUAAGUAUCCCACCUGGGGAGUACGAUCGCAAGGUUGCAACUCAAAUGAAUUGACGGAAU
rnacentral:rRNA from 1 species